GAUGAACGCUAGCGGGAGGCCUAACACAUGCAAGCCGAGCGGUAUUGUUUCUUCGGAAAUGAGAGAGCGGCGUACGGGUGCGGAACACGUGUGCAACCUGCCUUUAUCUGGGGGAUAGCCUUUCGAAAGGAAGAUUAAUACUCCAUAAUAUAUUGAACGGCAUCGUUUAAUAUUGAAAGCUCCGGCGGAUAGAGAUGGGCACGCGCAAGAUUAGCUAGUAGGUGAGGUAACGGCUCACCAAGGCGAUGAUCUUUAGGGGGCCUGAGAGGGUGAUCCCCCACACUGGUACUGAGACACGGACCAGACUCCUACGGGAGGCAGCAGUGAGGAAUAUUGGUCAAUGGGUGCAAGCUUGAACCAGCCAUCCCGCGUGAAGGACGACUGCCCUAUGGGUUGUAAACUUCUUUUGUAUAGGGAUAAACCUACCCCCGUGAGGGUAGCUGAAGGUACUAUACGAAUAAGCACCGGCUAACUCCGUGCCAGCCGCCGCCGUAAAAC
rnacentral:rRNA from 1 species